UACGUAGGACGCAAGCGUUAUCCGGAAUUACUGGGCGUAAAGAGCGUGUAGGCGGUUGUCCAAGUCACCCGUGAAAGCUCCCGGCUAAACUGGGAGAGGUCGGGUGAGACUGGAUGGCUAGAGGGUUGUAGAGGGGUGUGGAAUUCCGGGAGUAGUGGUGAAAUGCGUAGAGAUCCGGAGGAACACCAGAGGCGAAGGCGGCACCCUGGACAACACCUGACGCUGAGACGCGAAAGCGCGGGGAGCAAACGGG
rnacentral:rRNA from 1 species